GACGGAGGAUGCAAGCGUUAUCCGGAAUGAUUGGGCGUAAAGCGUCCGCAGGCGGCAAUUCAAGUCAUCUGUGAAAUCUCCGGGCUUAACUCGGAACGGUCAGAUGAUACUGCUUUGCUCGAGUGCGGAAGGGGCAAUCGGAAUUCUUGGUGUAGCGGUGAAAUGCGUAGAUAUCAAGAGGAACACCUGAGGUGAAGACGGGUUGCUGGGCCGACACUGACGCUGAAGCGCGAAAGCCAGGGGAGCAAACGGG
rnacentral:rRNA from 1 species